rnacentral:tRNA from 1 species
GCCUGGGUGGUGAAAUUGGUAGACACAGCGGACUUAAAAUCCGCCGGCCCUAAAAGGCUGUACGGGUUCGAUUCCCGUCCUAGGCA